UACGGAGGGUGCGAGCGUUGUCCGGAAUCACUGGGCGUAAAGGGCGCGUAGGUGGCUCGUGAAGCGUGCGGUGAAAGUCCGAGGCUCAACCUCGGAUCGGCCGUGCGGACUCGCGGGCUGAGCGUUGUAGAGGCGGGUGGAAUUCCGGUGUAGCGGUGGAAUGCGUAGAGAUCCGGAAGAACACCGGUGGCGAAGGCGGC
rnacentral:rRNA from 1 species